GGACUACUGGGGUUUCUAAUCCCGUUCGCUCCCCUGGCUUUCGCGUCUCAGCGUCAGGCGGGGUCCAGGCGCCCGCUUUCGCCACGGGCGUUCCUUCCGAUCUCAACGCAUUUCACCGCUCCACCGGAAGUUCCGGCGCCCCCUACCCCCCUCCAGCCCGGUCGUAUCCCCGCCCGUUCCCCGGUUGAGCCGGGGGAUUUCAGCAGGAGACGUGCCGGGCCGCCUACACGCGCUUUAAGCCCAGUGAUUCCGAAUAACGUUCGCACGGUUCGUCUUACCGCGGCGGCUGGCAC
rnacentral:rRNA from 1 species